CCUCCUCCCGCGUCUUGGCCCGCAAGAGUCCCGGGGGUCCGCCCGCAGCUGGCUAAGCGCUAGCCCGGCCUGUGGCGAGUCUGCAGAGCUCGCCCGGAAGUAGCGUUGCGCGCGCAGAGGAUGGGCGCUGAGCAGCACACAGCCCGCGGCGGGGUCUCAGGAUCCGCGGCGCUGCCCGGGGCCGGGGGAAGGAAGCCAGCCGAGGAGACGCACGUGCCCUGAGUCCGGGAGCGGGGAGCCUCUUCAUCUCUCCAUCCUCCCUCCGCGCGCGCCCUCAGCCGUCCUCGUCCGCUCACCAUGCACCUCCCCUCCAAGAAAGGGCCACAUGCGUGCCAGGGACGCGAGCCCCGGCCACAGGGACAUAGCAGCCUAGAAGGAAGAUCAGCAAACACAGGUUCGAAACAGGAAAGCACUGAACACCCGAUGGCUGCCUGAGAGAAACGUCCCAGGACACACUGACCCACGUGACAGCACGUGCCACUCAGACGAGGUGUCAGCAACGGAGACAGAAUGAGGAAACGGAGACCAAGGUGACGUCGGCAGUGGCCGCUGAUGCCUGCUCCAGGUGGGGUGGUGGUGGCCAUGGGCUCUGCGAAUCCCAGGCUCAAUGGCAACACUGAGGUGGGAGGAGGGGAAGGGACACUUGCUGGUGUCUGGCUUUCCUCUUGGGCAUCAGCUUCCAGCCCUUCAGCCUCAGCUCACCAACUUCCAUGGGUGGGCCCUGCUUGACUCCCCCAGCCUGUCAGCGUGUCGCCUCCCCUCUGCCACCCUGGGCUGCUUCACAACUCAGGACCGGAUGUGAGCUAUUAGGGAACCAGGCUUCCUGAUUUCCAGAGGCCAUCAGUGUGGAAGGGUGCAGGCCUGGGAGCCACCUUUGUGAGCAGGCAGGGAGAGCAGGUGGGAGUGUGAAGCCAGCACCGAGGAAGGAAGCAGAGCUGGGAAACGGUGUUAAGGGACAUGCGUGCAUGCGCGCGGUCCACGGCCUAGGCUCUGCCUUUGGGCCCUACCCACCGACUGUGUAUGUGAGCCCCCACAUUUGCAUUUAACAAUUUAACACCAGGCACCUGUCUCCUGCAGUGAUGCAGGCUCGGGACCUCCAGAGCAGCGGGCAGGAUGACGCCCUGAACCUGCACUUCAUCUCCUGGCUGCUUUAUUCUGUCAAUUGACUUCUGUAAUACAAUUUCCAUAUGGUGACACUGCCUUCCAAAACAGUUAGAGCUUAUUCUCAGUAUUCUUCAUUGGCAGUGGAAAAUGCUUCAGUACUUUAUUGAAAGAAAGCAAUAAAUAAUACUGUGAUAAAAAUA
rnacentral:lncRNA from 1 species